AACGCAUAUUGCGCUCUUUGGUAUUCCGAAGAGCAUGCUUGUUUGAGUAUCAGUAAACACCUCAAAUACCCAAGAGUUUUUUCUUUUUGGGAAUUUGGAUUUGAGUGAUCCUAACAAAAAAAAAGGAGUAAUCUUUUUCUUUGGCAGGUCACUUGAAAUGCAGGUGCAGCUGAAUAGUCUUCUGAGCUAAAAGCAUAUUUAUUUAGUCCUUGCUUUGCAAAAGGCUGGAUUAUUACUUUGCUGCAGCUAACAUAAAGGUUGAUUGUUCAAAUCGCUGACUGAUGCAGGAAUUUAACAGUUUAGAAAAACUGUGAAUCUCGAUCUCAAAUCAAGUAAGACUACCCGCUGAACUUAA
rnacentral:misc_RNA from 1 species